rnacentral:rRNA from 1 species
UGAGCUCAAAUUUAAAAUCUGGUGGUCUUUGGCCAUCCGAGUUGUAAUCUAGAGAAGCAUUUUCCGCGCUGGACCAUGUACAAGUCUCCUGGAACGGAGCGUCAUAGAGGGUGAGAAUCCCGUCCUUGACAUGGACUACCAGUGCUAUGUGAUGUGCUCUCGACGAGUCGAGUUGUUUGGGAAUGCAGCUCAAAAUGGGAGGUAAAUUCCUUCUAAAGCUAAAUAUUGGCGAGAGACCGAUNGCGAA